rnacentral:rRNA from 1 species
UACAGAGGUCUCAAGCGUUGUUCGGAUUCAUUGGGCGUAAAGGGUGCGUAGGCGGCGCGGUAAGUCGAGUGUGAAAUCUCGGGGCUUAACUCCGAAACUGCAUUCGAUACUGCCGUGCUUGAGGACUGGAGAGGAGACUGGAAUUUACGGUGUAGCGGUGAAAUGCGUAGAUAUCGUAAGGAAGACCAGUGGCGAAGGCGGGUCUCUGGACAGUUCCUGACGCUGAGGCACGAAGGCCAGGGGAGCAAACGGG